rnacentral:rRNA from 1 species
AGUGAACGCUGGCGGUAGGCCUAACACAUGCAAGUCGAACGGCAGCACAGUAAGAGCUUGCUCUUACGGGUGGCGAGUGGCGGACGGGUGAGGAAUACAUCGGCAUCUACUUUUUCGUGGGGGAUAACGUAGGGAAACUUACGCUAAUACCGCAUACGACCUACGGGUGAAAGCAGGGGAUCUUCGGACCUUUCGCGAUUGAAUGAGCCGAUGCCGGAUUAGCUAGUUGGCGGGGUAAAGGCCCACCAAGGCGACGAUCCGUAGCUGGUCUGAGAGGAUGAUCAGCCACACUGGAACUGAGACGCGGUCCAGACUCCUACGGGAGGCAGCAGUAGGGAAUAUUGGACAAUGGGCGCAAGCCUGAUCCAGCCAUACCGCGUGGGUGAAGAAGGCCUUCGGGUUGUAAAGCCCUUUUGUUGGGAAAGAAAAGCAGCAGGUGAAUACCCCGCUGUUCUGACGGUACCCAAAGAAUAAGCACCGGCUAACUUCGUG